ACGGGUAGAGCGCAACCUGUAGUGUGUACCAAGUAUAGUAGAGUGCAGUGCAAGUGCAGGCCGAAUUUACUAUUUACGCGAAGUAGAUAGUAAUAAUAAAAUGGCAUUAUUAAAUUAUUCUGAUUAUGAUUUAGUUGUAAGCGUUGAUAAUACUGUGAUUCAAGAUGAGAAAGGAAACGUAUUACUUCAAAAUAAAAAAGAUAUGUUUUAUAUAUUAUAGGUUAGUUUUUUUCUUUAUUAUUUUAGAGUAAUGUGAUUUUCAAUUACAGAUCACUCAGUGAUUUCCGUAGAUUAUGCCGUAGCUGCUGAAAUUUUUAAUUGUUUAAAAAUCACAAAAGACGUACUGGAAACAGCAGUAUUACAAAAUUCAAUGUGCAAUUCAGAAUCAUCGAUGGCUGACGAAGAAAACAGCAACCCCUGGACAAAAAACGAAAUCUUACAACUUUUGUCGCUUUACAAAUCUCAUAAUCAUUUCUUCAAAAGCACUACUAUUAAAAACGAUAAAGUAUGAUCCAUGAUAAGUGCACAUUUAAAAAGCCACACUACUGAACAGUGCAAAAAUAAAUUCAAAUAUCUAAAACAAAAAUAUGUUGAGAAGAAAGAUAAUAUGAGUACAAAAGCAGAAGUGGUGCCGCAAAUAUAAAAUUUGAAUAUUUUGAUAAAAUGGACAAAAUAUUUGGGAGCGGUGCACUUGGACACGGUGCAUUUGGACACAGCCAAUCACAGCACCGUAUGAUUAGAGACAUUUGUAGGGUCCCUUGGAACAGCGACUUGUGAUUGGACUGUGUCCAAUUGCCCCGUAUCCAACUGAUAUACACCCAAAUAUUUAAAGACGAUGCAAACAUAGUGCCUAUGAGCGUGGCUUCUUCUUCUAGAGAUGAUCAAAAUUUUGAUGAUAUUGAGGAUAUUAUCAAAUUAAAUGAGUCUGAUUCAACAGAUGACAGUAAUUCUACUGUAAAAGGUGAUCUACAUAAGAAAUCCCUAAAAAGAAAAAGCAUUGAAAUGGAAAAAAUAUAUGAUAAUUUUGAGAAAAGUUUGCAAGAAAGAAAAGAAGAGAGGAGAUCAAAAGAUCGGAGACACAGAGAAUUGAUGGAAAGACAAGAUUAUGCCUUACAGUUAUUUGAAAAGAUGACAGAUUGCAUUACGAACAUUGCAAGCAAAAAUUAGGUGUAACAGGUUGACAAAUUUGUCAAAGUUAUUAGUGGCCAGAUUGUAUAGUAUUGCUUGUUAGCGAUGAUCAAUAAAAUUGCAUUGUUUUCCAGAAGAAACUCCGCAUUCAUUGGAUGUUGACAGCUAGCAGCAUCGAAAAAUAUCCACAAUAAUUUGCAGAAUCCGACUAUAAGAAGCUGAACUAAACCGCACCCAUAUCUACAUUGUAUAUUAAUAUUCGAUGUGCAAUGUUAUUUCUUUCGAUUUACUUUGAGUUUUAAACAUUGUGUUCAAUGUAAGUAAAGAAUAGAUUUUUAUUUUUGUUACAAUUUGUUGAUUUCUUGUUUGAUUUUUAUUCUAAUUACAAUAUAUAUCUGUUCUAAUACAUUUCGAAUUGUAUUACUUAAGAUAUCUGUAUUAGUUGUAAAAAUUACUUUUAGUUUAUAGUGGAAAAGUUAAUAUAUAAGUAAAUAUAUCUAAUGAUAUUCUCUUGAAAUGUUUGAUAGAAUUGGCUGUUACAGAUUUUAUGUUACUUAUUUCUAAGAAAUUAAUUAAAAAUUAAUUUGUUUUGGCACAGAAAAAAAUAUUUUUAUUUUUGCUUCGAAAAAUACUGUUUUCAUUUUUGUAUGUGGGAAAUACUUCAUUUCUCACUUUCUGUUUAUAUUAAUUAUAACUAAAGUGAAUAUUUAUGUAAAAUACAAGAUCUCUAUAUCUUAACUGUGAGCGUGAUAUUAUAGUGAUAUUAUACUGUGAUAUAUUGAGUAUCAUAUGUAUUUUAUCUUAAUGUAAGGCAUACUUAGUAAUAUUAAAACAGAAGACUUAUCCAAAGACUUAUCCAAAAUGGAGUGUAAAACUAUUGUGUUCACUUGAGUAAAGGAAUAUUUUAUUCAGUAUUUUAAAUUUUCUUUAUUGAUGUCAAUGUAGCAUUAUAUAAGAAUUACAAAUUGACAUUAAUAAAAAAAAACUUAAUUUAUA